rnacentral:rRNA from 1 species
GAUUGACCUCGGAUCAGGUAGGGAUACCCGCUGAACUUAAGCAUAUCACUG